GACGAACCGUGCGAACGUUGUUCGGAAUCACUGGGCUUAAAGGGUGCGUAGGCGGGUCACCAAGUCUGGGGUGAAAUCCUCCAGCUUAACUGGAGAAUAGCCCUGGAUACUGGUGGUCUCGAGGGAGGUAGGGGCAGGCUGGAACUUCCGGUGGAGCGGUGAAAUGCGUUGAUAUCGGAAGGAACGCCGGUGGCGAAAGCGAGCUGCUGGACCUCUUCUGACGCUGAUGCGCGAAGCCAGGG
rnacentral:rRNA from 1 species